CUCUCUCUCUCUGUGGCCCCCAGCCCCGAUGCGAACAAGGCCAGGUUGUGGUGGAGUUAUCUCUGCUGCUGCAGUUGGGUUUAGGAGUUAGCUGCUUUCGUGCACUGGUGGCUGCACCAGAUUCAGUAGCGUCUGCAACUGUCCUUGAUAAAAGCUCGCUCAGCUGUUUCUUGGGAGAGCAACUUCCCUCCCCUUUGACAUUUCCUUUGAAGGUCGAAGCCCUUUGGCUCAGUUUUUUUUUCGCGGAUGGGGAUCCUUCCUUCGGUGGUAGUAGGCUGGGCAGAACUGGCAGUGGCUCCAAAAAUUUCCAUUACUGAAGUGGCCAAAAUUAAAUUUCUCCUCUUUUAGGCAAAAAAAAUGUGAUCUUUUGGCACCUCCUUGAUCAAUAUUAGGAGCGGGUAUCUUUGUCUUUGAAUUUGAAGGGUAAGAGACAAAUUAAAAAGGUGAUCACCCAACUGAUCAGUGGAUAAUUUUUGCAUAUGUUAGAGGAAUCCUGGGCUUUCUGUCCGGAUUUUUAGGAAUACUUGCAAGAUAACCUUGAAAUAAAGAGGCAGAGGCUAUGGAUGCAGUAGAUUGUGCCGAGAGGACGACGAGUGAUCUGUUGAUUGGCCCUGGUUGGGGUAUUAGCAUUGAGCUAUACGAUACCCAGGGAAGGCAAAGGAGGUGAUGAAGAUCCUUAAGAAGCUGCCUGGGGAAUAAAGAUCCAAAAAUACAGCUUCCGACCCUCUAUGUCAGUGUUGGAGACACUUAGCAAAAACUGUGGCAAUAGCGUAUUUCAGAAUAUUAUUGAGUCUGAUAUCCUACAGGAAAUGGUUAGAAUGGUGUUUAAAAAGGUGCCUACUCUGUACCCCAUGAUUGACUUUUAUUCUGAAUCUGUUCAUUUUUGAGAUUGUCAUUUGCUGUUUCUACAUGCUCUGUGCAGCCAGAUUUUAAUGCGAUGGAGAAGUUACUGACCUUGAUAGAUACAUGGCGAGAAGCUUUAGGGGGAGGAAGGGGAAGGUAUCCCCAAUAAUAUUAUGCAUACAAUGAGUUGAAGACUGUUCGAGUUCGCUUUCCACCCCGAGAAGAAAAGAGUACCAUUUUUCACUCCGCCCCGAUCUCAUGGAGUUCAUUCUACCUCAGCAUUCAGCAGUCCUGAACUUAACAUAAACAUAUCAUUGUCUGUUCAAAUCUUUUUGCAGCUGUUGGUGAUAUGAGUCUGUAUACUUAGCUUGCUUGGAAACUUCCAUUAAAAGAUGGACUUAAUUGGAGGGCCUUAAUUUUCUAGCUAGCAUUAUAUCCCUCAGAAAGCAUAUCAUUGUCUGUUGAGUUGAUGAUUGGUUUUGCUGAAAUUGAUCUAACGGGGCAUAGUUUAGAUCUUAAGCUUGGUAUAUGGGGGUGA